rnacentral:rRNA from 1 species
UACGAAGGGGGCUAGCGUUGCUCGGAAUCACUGGGCGUAAAGGGUGCGUAGGCGGGUCUUUAAGUCAGGGGUGAAAUCCUGGAGCUCAACUCCGGAAAUGCCAUUGAAACUGUAAGACUUGAGGAUGAGAGAGGUGAGUGGAAUUCCCAGUGUAGAGGUGAAAUUCGUAGAUAUUGGGAAGAACACCGGUGGCGAAGGCGGCUCACUGGCUCAUAUCUGACGCUCAGGCGCGACAGCGUGGGGAUCAAACAGG